GCCGGGCGCGGUGGCUCACGCCUGUAAUCCCAGCACUUUGGGAGGCCGAGGCGGGCGGAUCACGAGGUCAGGAGAUCGAAACCAUCCUGGCUAACACGGUGAAACCCCAUCUCUACUAAAAAUACAAAAAAUUAGCCGGGCGUGGUAGCAGGUGCCUGUAGUCCCAGCUACUCGGGAGGCUGAGGCAGGAGAAUGGCGUGAACCCGGGAGGCGGAGCUGGUGAACCCAGCUAAUUUUUUGUAUUUUUAGUAGAGACGGGGUUUCACUGUGUUAGCCAGGAUGGUUUUGAUCUCCUGACCUCGUGAUCCACCCGCCUCG
rnacentral:SRP_RNA from 1 species